GUUCAGUGAUGUCUCUUAACAAAUGUCUGACCUGAACUUGUAAUGUGGACAACAUUGUUGCUGAGUAA